ACUUCCAGAACUAUAAGCGUGGAUUUUUUUAAAGAAUAUUUUUGAAGGACCAUCAGAUUAACAAGCGUGGAUUUUUUAAAGAAUAUUUUUGAAGGACCAUCAGAUUAACAAGCGUGGAUUUUUUAAAGAAUAUUUUUGAAGGACCAUCAGAUUAACAAGCGUGGAUUUUUUAAAGAAUAUUUUUGAAGGACCAUCAGAUUAACAAGCGUGGAUUUUUUAAAGAAUAUUUUUGAAGGACCAUCAGAACAAUAAGCGUGGAUUUUUUAAAGAAUAUUUUUCAAGGACCAUCAGACCAAUAAGCUUGGAUAUUUUAAAGAAUAUUUUUGAAGGACCAUUAGACAAAAUAAACGUGGAUUUUUUAAAGAAUAUUUUUCAAGGACCUUUAGACAAAUAAACGUGGAUUUUUUAAAGAAUAUUUUUCAAGGACCAUUAGACAAAUAAACGUGGAUUUUUUAAAGAAUAUUUUUUGAAGCCAUAAACACCAAUAAACGUGGAUUUUUUAAAGAAUAUUUUUUGACCAAUAAACGUGGAUUUUUUAAAGAAUAUUUUU